AUUGAACGCUGGCGGAAUGCUUUACACAUGCAAGUCGAACGGUAGAGGGGGCAACCCCCUUGAGAGUGGCGAACGGGUGAGUAAUAUAUCGGAACGUGCCCAGUCGUGGGGAUAACGUAGCGAAAGCUACGCUAAUACCGCAUACGAUCUAUGGAUGAAAGCGGGGGAUCGCAAGACCUCGCGCGAUUGGAGCGGCCGAUAUCAGAUUAGGUAGUUGGUGAGGUAAAGGCUCACCAAGCCGACGAUCUGUAGCUGGUCUGAGAGGACGACCAGCCACACUGGGACUGAGACACGGCCCAGACUCCUACGGGAGGCAGCAGUGGGGAAUUUUGGACAAUGGGCGCAAGCCUGAUCCAGCAAUGCGCGUGCAGGAUGAAGGCCUUCGGUUGUAACU
rnacentral:rRNA from 1 species